UGCUUCUCUGGCCAGGCCCGGCUGCCCCACUCAUGUGUGCACCCAGUUCCUCAUCACUGUCACCCCCGAGGCCCAGGGCCAGCAUCAGAGCAUCCAUGGCUGCUCCCUAACCUCAGCCCUCCCUGCCCAGGGUGGUCCUGGGAUACACAUAGGGGUGGAGGGAAGUGACUGCUGCUGCUGGAUCUCAGAAUACAAAAGCUAAUACUAUUACCUAAUGGUCUUUUUAGUGUCUCUAAUGGUAUCGCUUUUUCAUUUCUGAUAUUUUAACUGGGUAUUUCUCUCCAUGACCCUUGGAUAUUCUAGCUAGAGGAUCUUGUGAGGAAAGUGCCGGGCACACAGUAGGGGCUCACUCUUCUAGACAUGUUAUCUAAAACCUGGUUCAUCUGUCCUUCCACAUGCCCCAGUGCAGGGUCCUCCUGAUCAACACCUGCUCCCCUGUACUCAUUAGCAACCUCACCCACCCUACUCUCAAAGCACACUUGGCUCUCAUAUCCAGGAGCUCUGCAUCUGUGGAUUCAGCAACAGCAGAUGGAAAAUAUUCAGAAAAUAAAUUGGACGGUUAUGUUUCUAUUGAAUUGCUCUUGUCAUUAUUCCCUAAAGAAUACAGUAUCACGACCAUUUAUGUAGCAUCUGCAUUGUAUUACACAUCCUGAAUAAUCUAGAGAUGGUCUAAUGUCUAC
rnacentral:lncRNA from 10 species